rfam:Echinostoma caproni strain Egypt genome assembly, scaffold: ECPE_scaffold0004738
AUACUGCUGAUGAGACUCAAGCAGGUCGAAACAGCUGUCCAGUGU